GAUGAACGCUGGCGGCGUGCCUAAUACAUGCAAGUCGAGCGAACAGACGAGGAGCUUGCUCCUCUGACGUUAGCGGCGGACGGGUGAGUAACACGUGGAUAACCUACCUAUAAGACUGGGAUAACUUCGGGAAACCGGAGCUAAUACCGGAUAAUAUAUUGAACCGCAUGGUUCAAUAGUGAAAGACGGUUUUGCUGUCACUUAUAGAUGGAUCCGCGCCGCAUUAGCCAGUUGGUAAGGUAACGGCUUACCAAGGCAACGAUGCGUAGCCGACCUGAGAGGGUGAUCGGCCACACUGGAACUGAGACACGGUCCAGACUCCUACGGGAGGCAGCAGUAGGGAAUCUUCCGCAAUGGGCGAAAGCCUGACGGAGCAACGCCGCGUGAGUGAUGAAGGUCUUCGGAUCGUAAAACUCUGUUAUUAGGGAAGAACAAAUGUGUAAGUAACUAUGCACGUCUUGACGGUACCUAAUCAGAAAGCCACGGCUAACUACGU
rnacentral:rRNA from 1 species